rnacentral:misc_RNA from 1 species
UCAGCAUCAGCCAGGACCCUCAAGAACCCAACUCUGGUUCUGAGACGUUGAGUUGUUAAAGAAGUGGGGAGAGUCUUGAUGGGAGAAAAGGAGUUGGAGCCUCUGACAUGAGGGAAACUGAGAGAAGCCAUGUGAAUAUGGAUCAAAAGAUCAGUGAUCAAAUCUGAAAAUCUAAAGCUGGAUAGAGAAGGAGAAGGGAAUGGAAGAUGAAUCUGAGUUGAAAAUGGUAAAAAAAUGAGAGAACGUGGAUUCAGAGGAAUCGAUUGCGUCUUGAGGUGUUUGGCUGAUU